rnacentral:rRNA from 1 species
GUCGAGCGGUAAGGCCUUUCGGGGUACACGAGCGGCGAACGGGUGAGUAACACGUGGGUGAUCUGCCCUGCACUUCGGGAUAAGCCUGGGAAACUGGGUCUAAUACCGGAUAUGACCUCCUAUCGCAUGGUGGGUGGUGGAAAGAUUUAUCGGUGCAGGAUGGGCCCGCGGCCUAUCAGCUUGUUGGUGGGGUAAUGGCCUACCAAGGCGACGACGGGUAGCCGACCUGAGAGGGUGACCGGCCACACUGGGACUGAGACACGGCCCAGACUCCUACGGGAGGCAGCAGUGGGGAAUAUUGCACAAUGGGCGAAAGCCUGAUGCAGCGACGCCGCGUGAGGGAUGACGGCCUUCGGGUUGUAAACCUCUUUCAGCAGGGACGAAGCGCAAGUGACGGUACCUGCAGAAGAAGCACCGGCUAACUACGUGCCAGCAGCCGCGGUAAUACGUAGGGUGCAAGCGUUGUCCGGAAUUACUGGGCGUAAAGAGUUCGUAGGCGGUUUGUCGCGUCGUUUGUGAAAACCAGCAGCUCAACUGCUGGCUUGCAGGCGAUACGGGCAGACUUGAGUACUG